CGCACAGCCGCUCAAAAACCCUAGUUCUCGCCGCCACCUCUGCCGCCCGGCGCCCGCCGCCAGUCCACCACUUGCCCACCUCGUCGCGACGUCGCGCAGAUAUCUCCACCGCCCGCCGCAGCUGGUGAGUUCCCUGGCCCGUUGCGUCGCUACGUGUUGUGACUUGUGAGGCUAAUACACCAUACUGCAUACAUCCUGUGAUUGAAUUUGCUGUUGCAGAUUUGGACAUUGAUUAGACAAUAAUGUUUAGUUGCUGCUGCAGAUUGAAUAAGGUUUUUAAUGAGACAGACCUAGGAAUAUAUUUUUGUUUCCCUCAAAAUAUGUGUUGAUUCAUUAGUUCACAUGUUUGUAAGUUUGUAACAUAUAGUCUGAUGCUACUGUUUUAGUUUGUAAUGAAAUACUAUCAUGUAUAUCUCUGCAAUUAUGCUAAUAUUUUAGCUUCUAC
rnacentral:lncRNA from 1 species